rnacentral:piRNA from 1 species
UUUCCUAAAAAUAUUUCAAUA